rnacentral:rRNA from 1 species
GCAUAUCAAUAAGCGGAGGAGAAGAAAAUAACAAUGAUUCCCUUAGUAACGGCGAGUGAAGGGGGAAAAGCUCAAAUUUUAAAUCGGCGCAGGUUCACCUGGUCGAGUUGUAAUUUGAAGAGGCGUUUUCCGCGUCCGGGUCGACCCAAAUCCUUUGGGAUAAGGUAUCAUGGAGGGUGAGAAUCCCGUCCGGUUGACCUCAGGAUGUUUUACGAUGCGCUCUCUAAGAGUCGAGUUGUUUGGGAUUGCAGCUCAAAAUGGGAGGUAAAUUUCUUCUAAGGCUAAAUACAGGCGAGAGACCGAUAGCGAACAAGUACCGUGAGGGAAAGAUGAAAAGAACUUUGAAAAGAGAGUCAAACAGUACGUGAAAUUGUUGAAAGGGAAACGAUUGAAGCCAGUCGUACCGACGGGAAUUCAACUUUUUAAGUGCUUGUCGUGGGUAACCGUUGAGCUUCGCGGCCUUCGUUGCUUUGCGUUAUGGUACUUUUAGGGUGUACUUUUCCGUAUGGUAGGUCAACAUCGAUUUUAAUCGUCAUAAAAUGAUCGGAGGAAUGUGGCUUCGAUCUCGUAUCGGAGUGUUAUAGCCUUUGGUAGAUGUGACGAUUGGGAUCGAGGAUUGCAACGAAUACCCUUUGGGCUAUCCGUCUGACCUCUGAAGGUCGCUCGGGUGUCGAAAGCGUGCUUAUGACAUUCUAGUUGGCGGUCAAAAGGUUAGAACGUGAUUACAUUCGUUAAGGAUGUUGACGUAAUGGCUUUAAACGAC